rnacentral:tRNA from 1 species
GCGGGAGUAGUUUAAUAAAAAUGGUACGUUGUGGGUGUACCGUUAGGCUUAAUGGCUUUUCUCGUA